CGGGACACGUGGUAUCCUGUCUGAAUAUGGGGGGACCAUCCUCCAAGGCUAAAUACUCCUGACUGACCGAUAGUGAACCAGUACCGUGAGGGAAAGGCGAAAAGAACCCCGGCGAGGGGAGUGAAAAAGAACCUGAAACCGUGUACGUACAAGCAGUGGGAGCCUCUUAAUGGGGUGACUGCGUACCUUUUGUAUAAUGGGUCAGCGACUUAUAUUCUGUAGCAAGGUUAACCGAAUAGGGGAGCCGAAGGGAAACCGAGUCUUAACUGGGCGUUAAGUUGCAGGGUAUAGACCCGAAACCCGGUGAUCUAGCCAUGGGCAGGUUGAAGGUUGGGUAACACUAACUGGAGGACCGAACCGACUAAUGUUGAAAAAUUAGCGGAUGACUUGUGGCUGGGGGUGAAAGGCCAAUCAAACCGGGAGAUAGCUGGUUCUCCCCGAAAGCUAUUUAGGUAGCGCCUCGUGAAUUCAUCUCCGGGGGUAGAGCACUGUUUCGGCAAGGGGGUCAUCCCGACUUACCAACCCGAUGCAAACUGCGAAUACCGGAGAAUGUUAUCACGGGAGACACACGGCGGGUGCUAACGUCCGUCGUGAAGAGGGAAACAACCCAGACCGCCAGCUAAGGUCCCAAAGUCAUGGUUAAGUGGGAAACGAUGUGGGAAGGCCCAGACAGCCAGGAUGUUGGCUUAGAAGCAGCCAUCAUUUAAAGAAAGCGUAAUAGCUCACUGGUCGAGUCGGCCUGCGCGGAAGAUGUAACGGGGCUAAACCAUGCACCGAAGCUGCGGCAGCGACGUUUAUGCGUUGUUGGGUAGGGGAGCGUUCUGUAAGCCUGCGAAGGUGUACUGUGAGGUAUGCUGGAGGUAUCAGAAGUGCGAAUGCUGACAUAAGUAACGAUAAAGCGGGUGAAAAGCCCGCUCGCCGGAAGACCAAGGGUUCCUGUCCAACGUUAAUCGGGGCAGGGUGAGUCGACCCCUAAGGCGAGGCCGAAAGGCGUAGUCGAUGGGAAACAGGUUAAUAUUCCUGUACUUGGUGUUACUGCGAAGGGGGGACGGAGAAGGCUAUGUUGGCCGGGCGACGGUUGUCCCGGUUUAAGCGUGUAGGCUGGUUUUCCAGGCAAAUCCGGAAAAUCAAGGCUGAGGCGUGAUGACGAGGCACUACGGUGCUGAAGCAACAAAUGCCCUGCUUCCAGGAAAAGCCUCUAAGCAUCAGGUAACAUCAAAUCGUACCCCAAACCGACACAGGUGGUCAGGUAGAGAAUACCAAGGCGCUUGAGAGAACUCGGGUGAAGGAACUAGGCAAAAUGGUGCCGUAACUUCGGGAGAAGGCACGCUGAUAUGUAGGUGAAGUCCCUCGCGGAUGGAGCUGAAAUCAGUCGAAGAUACCAGCUGGCUGCAACUGUUUAUUAAAAACACAGCACUGUGCAAACACGAAAGUGGACGUAUACGGUGUGACGCCUGCCCGGUGCCGGAAGGUUAAUUGAUGGGGUUAGCGGUAACGCGAAGCUCUUGAUCGAAGCCCCGGUAAACGGCGGCCGUAACUAUAACGGUCCUAAGGUAGCGAAAUUCCUUGUCGGGUAAGUUCCGACCUGCACGAAUGGCGUAAUGAUGGCCAGGCUGUCUCCACCCGAGACUCAGUGAAAUUGAACUCGCUGUGAAGAUGCAGUGUACCCGCGGCAAGACGGAAAGACCCCGUGAACCUUUACUAUAGCUUGACACUGAACAUUGAGCCUUGAUGUGUAGGAUAGGUGGGAGGCUUUGAAGUGUGG
rnacentral:rRNA from 1 species